ensembl:lncRNA
AUGAACAAGGACAGAAGAUAGGGAUUUGAGGCUGAAAGCUGCUGGGAAAAGUCCAUUUAUUUUCCUUAACCUGUGAAUGCUGCUGGAUGCACCGGCACUGGACUGUGAGGACUGUUAUCCAGCCAGUGAGUGUAGUCCAAGAAAGACAAGAUCAGUGACACACCUUCAGCUGGCCCACAGGGGAGAAGGGAGCAGAUAUAACCAGCCUGCGAUUUGGAGAACAGAAAGCAGAAGGCUAAAGGGAGCAUCAUGUGAAACAGCACUGAUCGAGAUGGUUUGGCCAGCAGAAAAAAAAACCAAACACCCCCCACACACAACUCAACCAGAGACAUGACUGUAAUGAGAACUUGGUAAGCCUGCCCAGGGAUUGCGGAGGAUCAAGGAGUGUGUCGGACCCCAGCGGAGCCAAGCAGCCAGGACAGUCCGAUGGAUUCUCUCCCCUUCACUCGCAUAUGUUUCCUGCUUCUGACCAUUUCAUCUGCCAUUCUAGCUACCACGGUGCCCAGUGGUGACCCUGCUGACUGGACAAAAGACUCUUCCUUGAGCAGCACAAAAGUGACAGCCUAUGACUGCACGCACUGUGGUAUCAGUGUAUGCGAGUUAUCCAAUUUCAGUUGCUGUGUUGUAAUUGGUGAAACACAAAACAAGAUGUUUUCAAAUGAAGUAAUUCAGCUGGUGACCAGUGAAACACAUAUCACUAUGUGCUUUCAGCAAGCAGAUACUUUUCCAGAAGGAAUUUAUGCCAUCAUCUGGGUGAAAGACGAGGGAAUAGGAGAUUCAUGCGGCAYCCUGAAGGCUGAAGGUAUGGUCAGCUGGGAGCCUAGCUCUGAACAAACUGAAAAAUACAUUUCCAAUUAUGAAACAAAACUGUUAUAUAUUUGGGCAGACAGUGAGGUUAAUGAGGCAACUAACUUAAGAUGAGUAUUUUAUGAAGAAAAGACAUAGUCACUUAGAAAAAUAAAUUAAAUGCUUUCAGGCCA